rnacentral:rRNA from 1 species
CAAUAGCGUAUAUUAAAGUUGUUGCGGUUAAAAAAGCUCGUAGUUGGGUUCUGCUGAAGACAGCCGGUCUGUACUUCGUACAUGCAUCUGGUUCGUCUUCGGCAUCUUCGUGGGCACUGCAUCUGCGCUUGACUGCGUGGUGUAGGAUUCGCGACUUUUACUUUGAGGAAAUUAGAGUGUUCACAGCAGGCAUCCGCCUUGAAUACAUUAGCAUGGAAUAAUAAGAUAGGACCUUCGUUCUAUAUUGUUGGUUGCUAGGGAUGAAGGUAAUGGUUAAUAGGGAUAAUUGGGGCAUCCGUACUAACGCGUCAGAGGUGGAAUUCUUGGAUGCGUUAUGACGAACUACUGCGAAAGCAUUUGCCAAGGAUGUUUUCAUUGAUCAAGAACGAAAGUAGCGGGAUCGAAGAUGAUUAGAU